GACGGGGGGUGCAAGCGUUGUUCGGAAUCAUUGGGCGUAAAGCGCGUGCAGGUGGCUUUUCAAGUCAGAUGUGAAAGCCCAGGGCUUAACUCUGGAAGUGCAUUUGAUACUGCUAAGCUUGAGUAUGGAAGAGGGUCGUGGAAUUCCUGGUGUAGUGGUGAAAUACGUAGAUAUCAGGAGGAACACCGGUGGCGAAGGCGGCGACCUGGACCGGUUCUGACACUGAGGAGCGAAAGCGUGGGGAGCGAUCCGG
rnacentral:rRNA from 1 species